GUGUGGGUGGUCGGCGGCGGCAGCGGCAGCCAGCCAGAAACACAACAGCAAAACACAAAAGCGGGAGCAAGCCGGUAAAAUGUCCCAGAGCUGCCAUCUGCCCCCUCCCCCCUCCCUUAAUCGUGCCAGCUGGUAGCCUCACAUGGUCUUAUAAACUACCGGUAGAGAGUGAUUCGCCUGUUUUCCUAGCUUUGUGUCUUUAACUUUCGCUUUCGUCGGCUGAGGGUGUAGGCCCGAGUCUACGUCCCGGCGUGUUGACGGGCAGCGUUUGUGCCCUCACUCACUCGGGUGAGGGGGUGAGUACCCUGCCCUGUCCUGUCCCGUCCUGUCCUGUUGUGUGUUUGUGUCCCCAAUCCCGCCCGCCGGGAGGGUUGCGAUCUGUUGUGGAUCUGUUGUGUUGGUUCUUGGACGAUCGGAUCGAGACGGCUGUCGGGCGACACCUAGCGGCGGCAGUAAGCUACAACACGCCUGGUCCCCGGGCGCUCGGUGACAAGGGCGGUGACUCGCCUGCAGUCAGCCGACCAGAGCGACGAGAAUCCAGGCACGCUGGCGGGUGUGUCCCGGAGGCGGUGCGACGUUUGUGAACGGUCUCUGUGCAGGAGGUUGUACCGGUAGAAUAAACGAGAAGGUGGUGGCUGUUCUGUGUGCUACCAUGGCCAGAUGGAGGUGUGGUGGCGGCUUGAGCUGGUCGACCAGAAGCCUUUUAAAAGUCCUUCACGUCCCGUAACUGUAACUAACCCUCGGUCCCCGGCGGUGGUCUCGGCGACCCGAGGCCGAGAGGAAGCGCUGUUCCCGGAUUCACUAGCGGGCCGGGACCCGGGAUUCUCUGGGUGCCUCGGAACAUUUUAUCUUGUGUGCGUGCGGUAGCCACCCUCGGUCGAUCCCCGGCGGUGGUCUCGGCGACCCGAGGCCGAGAGGAAGCGCUGUUCCCGGAUUCACUAGCGGGCCGGGGCCCGGGAUUCUCUGGGUGCCUCGGAACAUUUUAUCUUGUGUGCGUGCGGUAGCCACCCUCGGUCGGUCCCCGGCGGUGGUCUCGGCGACCCGAGGCCGAGAGGAAGCGCUGUUUCCGGCCUCACUGCCUGCUAGUUCCCGGUUCCUUGUAGGGUCAGACUUUGUUUUUCUUCGACGUGUCCUCCCAUCCCGGGCUCCUGCCCUCCGGGUCCUUGCCCGAGAGGAUGCCGGUGUGUGCCGAUCUUUUCUGCAUGUCUACCUCGCUCUUGGUCCU
rnacentral:lncRNA from 1 species